rnacentral:rRNA from 1 species
AACGAACGCUGGCGGCAGGCCUAACACAUGCAAGUCGAACGCAUCGCAAGAUGAGUGGCGCACGGGUGAGUAACACGUGGGAAUGUAUCCUUUGGUUCGGAAUAACGUCUGGAAACGGACGCUAAUACCGGAUGAGCCCUUAGGGGGAAAGAUUUAUCGCCGAAGGAGCAGCCCGCGUCUGAUUAGGUAGUUGGUGGGGUAAAGGCCUACCAAGCCGACGAUCAGUAGCUGGUCUGAGAGGAUGAUCAGCCACACUGGGACUGAGACGCGGCCCAGACUCCUACGGGAGGCAGCAGUGGGGAAUAUUGGACAAUGGGCGCAAGCCUGAUCCAGCCAUGCCGCGUGAGUGAUGAAGGCCUUCGGGUUGUAAAGCUCUUUCGCACACGACGAUGAUGACGGUAGUGUGAGAAGAAGCCCCGGCUAACUUCGUGCCAGCCGCCGCAGUAACAC